GAAUAUUGCACAAUGGGGGAAACCCUGAUGCAGCGACGCCGCGUGAGCGAUGAAGUAUUUCGGUAUGUAAAGCUCUAUCAGCAGGGAAGAUAAUGACGGUACCUGACUAAGAAGCUCCGGCUAAAUACGUGCCAGCAGCCGCGGUAAUACGUAUGGAGCAAGCGUUAUCCGGAUUUACUGGGUGUAAAGGGAGCGUAGACGGAUGGACAAGUCUGAUGUGAAAGGCUGGGGCUCAACCCCGGGACUGCAUUGGAAACUGCCCGUCUUGAGUGCCGGAGAGGUAAGCGGAAUUCCUAGUGUAGCGGUGAAAUGCGUAGAUAUUAGGAGGAACACC
rnacentral:rRNA from 1 species